CUCUAGUACAAGUGUAGCUGGUGCUCUGAUAACUAACUCUAAGGCCACCUUUUCCCAAGGCCACCACAACACCAGCAACUGCUUACUGGUCAGCAUUUGUAAACAUUUCCUGCUCAGAAUUGCUCCAGACGUCACAGAGCUUCAACAAUAAUGAAUGUUUGCACAACAUUUCCUGGGAAGAACCUUUUCCUCUCCAGCCUACUACAGGUAUUUUCAAAAUCAUCAUUGUUGACUGGUCUGCUUGGGCUAAACAAGAAAUCUUCACGCAGAGAACAACUGGUGCUCCCUGAAACACUCCUUAGUAGGCCAAGCAAAUAAAAUCAUACUAUUUAACAGCAGAAAAAAUUGUGGGUCACAGUAUGAUUGGCAGACAUGAGCAUUACAAACUUCCUGUAAAAUGCCUGAGCUCUCUCUUCCUGCCAUUCUUAUUAACCAGCUCAGCAUAACAGCCUCCUUGCAGCAAAGUCAGAAACUACCAACAAGCAAACAGCAAGAAAUUUGUUCUCAUUAGCCCCCAUAAUCUCUAAAGGUCCAAAGAAGGUAAUCCUUCCAGAGAAAAAGGGAAAACUGUACCUUACCUGUUUCCUUGUGCGUGUUUUCCCUGUUCUCAGCUUAAUAUAGCGGGCAAUCAACUCAU